ensembl:lncRNA
CACUGCUCUGUACUCAGCCCUGUCACAGCAUCACGCUGUAUCUGGCGUUUGUUUGACUUUCCAAAACUGCUCCGAACUCCGACUAAAAGUAGCAAUUGGGCUAAAACAGCUCCACGAAACUCCUCAUCCUCUCAUCUACCUCUCUGGCGAUCGAUACAUCUCCCCGUAUCCUGGCGGAUCCUCGUAUUAAAACCCCCCGUGUUCGCACUACUCAUCGGUCAGGUUUUUUUUUGUUGUUGUUUUUUACCCCCUUUCCUUCUGAAUUAAUUCUCCUUGAUGGCGAGCUAUCCCGUCCCCUACCUCCUGCUGAGCGGUGGAGAAGGAAGCAGCAGCUGAAGUGCGUUAGGGUUUCCUGCAGGAGAGAGGAGGGAUGGUGGCAUUGUCAUCACAGCAGGCAUUGUUGUUUGGCAGGUCCACCACCAAUGCAGUGACAGCUGUGGAUUACCUGAAACAGAACAGAGGACUCGAACCUGCAGCCUCUGAGUUGCUAACCGUUCCUCCAUCUCACUGAGCUAUUCCUCCACACCCCUGCACAUUGACUUUUUGUGUCUGUGUCUCGUUGACCCCCACCGCAGUCCCUGUUGCAGUGGGUCCUUUCAGGCUCCUGGAAUCGAACCCACAUCCUCAGUGUGUGAAGCUAUAUCCGAGAUGCAUGUGCUAUACUACUACACUACCAAGCCGUGUGACAAUCGGAGCCUUUCCCAUUGUGCUUUUGGUCAAACCUUUCAGUCCAGUUUCUUACUAUAAUAAGUUAGUAGAGAAAGUGUCUUUAUAGUUACAUCGGCUCUUGGGUCAGAAAAUUCAAGUAUGUGCAGGUAAAGAUGUGUGAGGAGUUUAGAGAUGGCAGGAGUCAUCCUCACUAAUUCAGCUUCCACCUAGAAAUAGAAAGAUCACAAACAAACACACUGAUACUCUCAAACGUUCAACCUCACAACCUCAAAAUAUCUGUUUAGGAAGUGUUGUGUUUCUAAAUUGUGCUGAAAGCAUUGACAGACAUUCUCUUACAAGGUUGUGUAAAAAGCAGCCUGUCCUCUGAGCUACUGAGAAAUCUUCCUGAAUAAAGUUUCUACGUGUAAAUCAGCUCAACAAAAACUAAAGCCUCAGUCAGAGAUAACAGGUAUCGCAAAUUAUAAACAACUUUCUUUGUUAACUCAGACUUUCUGCUUCAACCUCACAUAAAAAGGGGAGUUUAACUCAUCAGGUGACUGAAAAUGAACGGCUUGUGCAGUUCUAGAUCCAAAAGUAGGAUGUUUCAUCUCAUGUUUUACUACAAAUACAUGCAGUAAUAAAUAAAUACAAUGGCUGGUUGUUAGUUUAUUCACUAUUAAAGUCACUUUAUAUACUGGAUUGAACUUGAGCAGUUGAAGAGAGAAGGAAUUUAAUGAAAUUAUGGAGAUUCAGAGAGGUAAUGUUGUU